GCCGAAGUGGCGGAACAGGCAGACGCGCUGGACUCAAAAUCCAGUUCCUUCACAGGAGUGUGGGUUCGACCCCCACCUUCGGCA
rnacentral:tRNA from 1 species